rnacentral:hammerhead_ribozyme from 1 species
GUACUGCUGAAGAGUCACAAAUUAGGACGAAACAGCUGUUCAGUAC